AUGCAAGUCGAGCGAACAGACGAGGAGCUUGCUCCUCUGACGUUAGCGGCGGACGGGUGAGUAACACGUGGAUAACCUACCUAUAAGGCUGGGAUAACUUCGGGAAACCGGAGCUAAUACCGGAUAAUAUAUUGAACCGCAUGGUUCAAUAGUGAAAGACGGUUUUGCUGUCACUUAUAGAUGGAUCCGCGCCGCAUUAGCUAGUUGGUAAGGUAACGGCUUACCAAGGCGACGAUGCGUAGCCGACCUGAGAGGGUGAUCGGCCGCACUGGAACUGAGACACGGUCCAGACUCCUACGGGAGGCAGCAGUAGGGAAUCUUCCGCAAUGGGCGAAAGCCUGACGGAGCAACGCCGCGUGAGUGAUGAAGGUCUUCGGAUCGUAAAACUCUGUUAUUAGGGAAGAACAAAUGUGUAAGUAACUAUGCACGUCUUGACGGUACCUAAUCAGAAAGCCACGGCUAACUACGUGCCAGCAGCCGCGGUAAUACGUAGGUGGCAAGCGUUAUCCGGAAUUAUUGGGCGUAAAGCGCGCGUAGGCGGUUUUUUAAGUCUGAUGUGAAAGCCCACGGCUCAACCGUGGAGGGUCAUUGGAAACUGGAAAACUUGAGUGCAGAAGAGGAAAGUGGAAUUCCAUGUGUAGCGGUGAAAUGCGCAGAGAUAUGGAGGAACACCAGUGGCGAAGGCGACUUUCUGGUCUGUAACUGACGCUGAUGUGCGAAAGCGUGGGGAUCAAACAGGAUUAGAUACCCUGGUAGUCCACGCCGUAAACGAUGAGUGCUAAGUGUUAGGGGGUUUCCGCCCCUUAGUGCUGCAGCUAACGCAUUAAGCACUCCG
rnacentral:rRNA from 1 species